AACCAACAGGGAUUGCCUCAGUAACGGCGAGUGAAGCGGCAAAAGCUCAAAUUUUAAAGCUGGCAUCUUCGGUGUCCGCGUUGUAAUUUUGUGAGGCAUCUCCGGGUAGGGCGCCGGCCUAAGUUCCUUGGAACAGGACGUCACAGAGGGUGAGAAUCCCGUGCUUGGCUGGCUGUCCCCGUCCAUGUGAGGUGUCUUCGACGAGUCGAGUUGUUUGGGAAUGCAGCUCAAAAUGGGUGGUAAAUUUCAUCUAAAGCUAAAUAUUGGUGGGAGACCGAUAGCGCACAAGUAGAGUGAUCGAAAGAUGAAAAGCACUUUGAAAAUAGAGUUAAAAAGUACGUGAAAUUGUUGAAAGGGAAGCGCUUGAGACCAGACUUCGGUAGGGGGUGAUCAGCCGUCCUUCUGGGCGGUGCACUUGCCCCCCUCCGGGCCAGCAUCGGUUGAGGCGGCGGGAUAAAUGUCCCGGGAAUGUGGCUCCUUCACGGGAGUGUUAUAGCCCGGGUGAAUGCCGCCAGUCUCGACCGAGGACCGCACCCGCAAGGGUUAGGAUGCUUGGCAUAAUGGUCUUCAGCGA
rnacentral:rRNA from 1 species